AAAAUAUGCUGCACUGAUUUCUGGACCAUGUCAGACAUCAUUCAGGCCACCUGUGGCUCCAGUUCCUCACUAUUCACCACCAGAGACAAAUGCAGAUCAUCCUUUUUGGUUCCAAGCCCAAAACUUCCAGGGAAGGGCUCCCAUGAGCUCAGCUGGGGCAAGGUGCUGAAUUCUGGAGCAGUCACUGUCACCAGAAGGUGGGGCACUGUGGUUGGUGACCUCUGGAAAAAUCACCAGGAUCACGCAGCAUCAGAAAAUGCAACUACAAGGAUCGAGUAUAGAGCAACACAUUUUCCGGAAGAUAAGGAGCAGAGUCCUAAGGAGUUAACACGUCACCUAUAUUGGAGUCUUCAUAGAUGAAAUCAUGCUACUGGGGAGAGAGGGAAAUCGGAUACAUGAAGAGAAGUGAAGAGAAGUGAUCAUGGAUUCGCCAUCUUCAAGGAAUUGCGUGUCUCCUGGUUACUGCUUGGUGCUGUCCUCCCACUCCCGCACUCCUGACUGCGGUCCAUGUCUACCCUGGGGAUUCGUCCACCCAUUGGUGCUGUCAACUAAAGGCAACAGCCUAACCUGGGAGCCACUUCUUCCCACAAAUCCAUUUUCCUUCAAACAUCUCUUUUCUUUUAUUUUUUCAAUAAUAUUAAAUAUAUUUUCCCAUCAUUCUAGGCUAGAAAACUUGAAGUAAAUCUGAAUUUCCCUCUCACUGUUUAGGUUGAGUCUCCAAAUGCCAUUGGAUUUUUCUCUGCAGUUUUUCUCCUAUUCAUUGGUCCCAAGUUUGAUCCUGUUCCUUCAGUUCACAUGAAGUAAAUCAUUUUCCCAGUUCACUGUGUCAAUGUCUGCCACUUCCAAUUCCUUACACAAUUAUUCUCAGAUGAGUCUCCCUCAUACACACACUUGCACAUGACACUCUCCUGCUCAAAGCUCUCAGUGGUUUCCUGUUGCUUUUUGGGGGCAGGGAACUAAACUUAAAGAAAAGAAACUCUGGUCCUUUCUCUCUGGUACUGACCUAUCUCUCCAGAUUCUCCUGCCACUCUUGCCAAACUAGCCUAUUCAGUUUUCUCCAAACAUAUCUCUAGCUUUAUGACUUAGCUCCCCAAAUCUUCCCAGUACCUGAUAACAUGGAACAGAAAAUACCUGAAACCUGGUACAAAAUAGGCAGGCAAUAAAUGUCUGUGGAAUUAAUGAAAACAUACAGACAAAACAUUUAUUUCCUGAUGUCUUGUAAAACUGUAUCUUAGCCACAUUUCUCUUCAGAUUUGCAUUUACCAUAAAUUUUUGCUUGCUAUACAAACCAGCUAUACAGUUUCCCCAAAUUAAAAAAAAAAAAUCCACAUCCUGACCUAUCCACUCCAUAGACCCUGCUCCUCCUUUUGAGUUUCUAGCUCAGCUCAUGGUAGCACUAUGUACGAAUCUGCUUGUGAAAACUAGGGACCUCAGAAUAAUCCUUAGUUUCAAGUUCUCCUGCUUAUGAUUGAAGAGUUAUCUGCAUUGCCAUGCAAUAACAACAAUAAAACAACAAUAACAAACCUUAUAUUUAUUGAGGAUCUACUAAAUUAUGAGUUGUGUUGUAUCUUUGCCCAAAUAAAAUUCAUAAAUUGAAGUUCUAGUGCCCAUUACCUUAGAAUGUGGCCCUUUUUGGACACAGGGCCAUAGUAGAUGUAUUUAGUUAAGAUGAAGUCAUGCUGGAGUAGGGUGGGCCCCCAAUCCAAUAUUACUGGCUGGAGUCCUUCUAAAAGGAGGGAAUUUGGGCCCAGAUAUUGAUAUGGUUUGGCUUUGUGUUCCCACCAAAAUCUUGUCUCGAAUUGUAAUCCCCAUAAUCCCCAUGUGUGGAGGUCGGGAUGUGGUGGGAGGUAAUUGGAUCAAGGGGGUGGUUUCUCCCAUGCUGUUCUCAUGAUAGUGAGUGAAUUCUCACAAGAUUUGAUGGUUUUAUAAGUGUUUGACAGUUCUUCCUUCACACACUCUCUCUUGCCUGCCGCCAUGUAAGACAUACCGGCUUCCCCUUCUGCCAUGAUUGUAAGUUUCCUGAAGCCUCCCCAGCCAUGCAGAACUGUGGGUCCAUUAAACCUCUUUUCUUCAUAAAUUACCCAGUUUGGGGCAGUUCUUUAUAGUAGUGCGAGAACAGACUAAUACACACAUACUUAAGGAGAAUACCAUGUGAAGGCUGAGUGAUGUUGCCACAGCCCAGGAACUGCCAGAAGCCAGCAGAGGCCUGGAAGAGACCCUUUCCUAGAGCCUUCAGAGGGAAUCUGGCCCUGCCAACACCUUGAUCUCAGACUUCCAGCAUCCAUAGCUGUGAGACAAUCAAUUUUUAUUGUUUAAAUCCUUUGGCGGCCCUUAGAAACUCAUACACUAAGCACCAGCCAAUGUGCUAAAUUCCUUUGCAAACUUAGAGUUAUUUAAUGCUCACAAUGACCCUGAAGUCAUCUAGAGUUAGAGAUUCAUAUAAUUAUUAUGCCAUUAUACAGCUGUGCAAACAAAGGCUUAGAAGUUAAGUACCUAGUUCAAGGUCACUGAGAUAAGCUCAGCUAUUUAUCAAUAGCAGAGCAAACCAAAACAUCUGUGAUUAGAAAGCCCAAGUUCAUACACACUAAACUCCAGGCCUCUCCUAAUACAUUUCCAAGCCGGGACAAUGUUAUAUAGGUGACCCUCAUACAAUUCCCGUGCAUUAUGCUGUAGAAUUUUCACUUAAGAUAUUCCCUUAAGGUGCUCCUUGGAAAUAGAAACUUGAACAUAAUUCAUUUUAUUUUAGGUGAGACUGUGUUCAUAAAAAGAUAUCCAAGGGAAAUUUACUUUUAUCUAAUUUAUCAGAUGUGACAUUUAAAAUAAAAUAACUCAUAAACAAACCUAACAUGCUCCACUGCACAUUUUUACUGUUUCUUUUAUAAUGCAAACAUGGUAUUACACUUCUUAAAAGAAAUUAAAAUUGUAGCAUCACACAGUGCACAAAUAACAAAGAUUACAUUCUAAAAACAUUUCGUUCACAGUUUAUAUUUAUUCUUAAUAUGUGUUGAGCAACUGAAUGAAAAAAGCAUUCAACAGCUCUGACAUUCCUUUGCUAUUUCAAACAGUGGACUUACGUAAACCAA